UUCACGUUUCCCAAGCUGCGAUAUCUAUAAAUGGGGGCUGUCUGCCAGCAUGUUGCAAUCAAUCUUGAGAGAUUUUAGUGAUUGUGCUCCCAAACCACCAAAAGCUGCAGAGCCAAGCUUCCCCUCUCCAAAAUCCUUGCAUGUCCUGUUUACUGGAGAAUUCACUAGUGGAGGAUCAGUGCCCAGACAGUCAGCAGAAAGUGGGUCAUAGUCAGCCAAGUCAUGGCAUGUGCAGCCAGACUUGCCGGCUGAGUCACAGCUCCCAUGGCAAGAUGAAUUUUGCAAGGGGAACAUAUCUUUUGAGGUUGAUGCCUUCCAUUCAUGACUUCACAGAUUUCAUCUGCAAAUACAGAACUGCUGAAGCCCACCCUUUCCCAUUUAUAACUAAAGAAUGAAGCACAGAAUUGGUAGGCACGCUAUUAUGUGAAGAAGGGAUGGUACUCAAAAGCAUUAAAACUUGCCACCCUGCACCAUUUACAACUUUGCUGUUUAAAUUCAUUUUCAGGAGGAAGGAAACUGCUUUAAAUUAAAAGAAGUUCUCAUUGGUUGUUUACCAUGAAAACAAAGUCAUUCCAAAGCAAUUAGCAAAAUAUAAAAAGUAGUAUCAGAAGAAAAUUCAAUGGCUCUGUUGGAAAUGCUGCAUAUAAGUUGGCUCCCUCCUAAACUCACCCUCUGUUUGAUUCUCAUAAUGUGUAAUGUGAGAAAAA
rnacentral:lncRNA from 1 species